UUUUGUUUAAUAUAAAAAGUAUAGUUGAUUUCCAAUCAAACAGUCUAUUGUUAGAACAAAAA
rnacentral:tRNA from 1 species